UGGCUCAGUGGUUAAGAGCACUGGCUGCUCUUCCAGAAGACCUGGGUUUGAUUCCCAG
rnacentral:tRNA from 1 species